UAGACCCUGAAUCAAGACCAGUAGUUUGCUGUAGCUAUUGGUUUCAUGCAGGAGCCAAGAGCAGUGUCUUCCUGUGGUCUGUUGGCUUCAAGCCCCUCUGUGGGAAUGGCCAGUUCAGUUGGAAGAAACAUAG
ensembl:snoRNA